CAUUUUCGUUAGAAAAAUAUUUUUAUCUCUACAGUAUUGUUAUUGCUGAUCGUUUAUCGGCUACUGACGUAACUAGGAGGGAAUUUUUUUGGGCCGGCCAGAGUUCUGCGAAACUUUAGAUUUUACAUAUCAACCUGUGCGAGCUGUGAGUCAAAAAAUUAAUCAAUACCCAAGUCAGACAAAUAAAUGUACAGCUGAUUGGGCUUAUUUAGUAGCUAGAAAAUAAUCGAAAUAUUUAGACUCGAAAAGUACGAGCGACCGAUCUCGGAGACUUUGCAAAAAAAGGCGGGCAAAAAAGAUUUUGGAUGUGGCUUCACUCUUUUAAUGCCAACAAGUGUUGAAGUAGUUUAAAUUGUCAUAGCCUUCCGGUACCAACAGUAGGAACUAUGUGUGUAUAUUUUAAAAGAAAUUAUAGCAUUAGCUAAAACUUGAAAGACUGUACAUGUCUUUGAAACAAUAUAUACUUUUAAGAGUGGGACAUUCUAAAGGAGUACCGGGUAUCACAUUGUCACAUUGAAAAGCAACAUUAUUUUGAAGUUUUAGAAGUGAAGUACUUCUUGCAGAAGCAAUGUUUCUGCAACUAUGAUUCCAAUAAUAAGUUUUCGGAAAGGUUUCUUAAAUAUUUCUGCCGGCCGGAAAGGGAGUCAUUUAUUGCAAUAAUCUAAGAAGAAAAGAAGGUGGUUUACGUAUGCCACAUCCUAUGAAUGGGUUACCCCGACUAAAAUUGUAUUACGUCUUCGCCCAUCUCCUCCGCUUAAUUCAACACAUUCCCCACAGCCCUCCACUCGACUUGGACGCAGCUGAGCUGAUCUGAUCUGAUCUGGACCGAGCGGCGGGAACUGCAUCUCAUAAUUAGCGCAAAUGAUAACCAAAUGGCUUACAACUUGUCAGCGCCACAAGUGUGGGCCUGGCCGCCCCUUUCCUCCCGAGAUACGUCACAGCGCCUAACGCAUUUCGCCGGAGCCCUCUCAGGUUGCAAGCGACACUAUGCAAGUCUCGUACUGCUCCUCAAGGUGUCAAAAUUAUUUUAAUUAAGUUUAAAAGUGACAAAACCUAAUUGAAUGAAAAUUUGUGGCGGCCAUUAGUUGUGCGGUCUAGAGUGGUAAGCCAAAUCGAACAAGAAAACCACACAAGGCGAACCACCAACCACCACCCCUUUUCACACCAUUUUCGGCGGUGGGGCGCGAGGUGGCAUUACCACUAGCCUGCCACUAGCGAGGUGGCAAGUAAAUCCAAUUCCAAAAGCAAUUAAAUGCCGGCUAUAAAUCAACAAGUGCAACACUCGGACACAAGAGCACACCUCUCCUCUGCGCCGUCAGACCCACUGGCGCAUAUUUCGCGCUAAAUUAGUCGCUGCGUGAAUUAAUUACGAUUUUCCCGCUCCAGCCCGGCUCAGGCCUAGAGAUUCUGGGCGGGGCCAGAGGCAUUAUUUUGGCCAAUUUUCGGGCAUUGACAAUUGGCUGUAGUCGCUGAUGGCUGUUGUUUAGAGGCGGCGGGUCGGAAAGCCCCAUUUUUUUAAUUGCCCAAAGUCAACCAUAGCCUGAGGCCCAGAAAUACUCUACUCAGCCUGAAAAGCGCAGCAACAAAAUAUUGAAAAUAAAGCUUAUUUAUUAAGUACUUGUUUCGUUCUUUAAAUUGGCAUCUUAAGAGAAGCAUUGUGGUUGGAAAAGUGGCUUAGAACUCAAGAUGCAGACAGAAUAUGACUUUGCAGGCUGUACGAGGGAACUUAUCAAGGACUAAUCGAGAUACUCGGGGAGCUAUUUGUCCAGCUGACUGGUGGCAAUUGUGGUCUUGGGCAUUCGAUGAUUGUGGGGGUAAGCACACAAAUUUUGAUGGUGCCCCGGGCUUGUGUCGACAGCAUUGACACACCGGUAGGUUGCAGGUGGGUUCCAUUGGGCUUGUGUAUUUUAGGGGAGGACUCUAGCGUGUGAUUCCUGGGAAUCGUUCUAUUUGCUCGGACUCGACAAUAACUCUAAUAGAUUGCCAUGCGACUUAAAGAACUUGCUUGUAUUUGAAAAGGGAUCGUCAGCCUUACUUUUUAAAUAGGUUUCCCGGGAAUCGGAAUGAAUAAAUGCAACUCAAAGCAAUUCCCCCCGGACAAGAAGCGACUAUAAAAAUAAUUUCUUUAAUUUACAAUGCGUUUACGAUCCAUUGUCAUAAAGAUCUGCAGGCAGGGAACGUUUUCUCAACCAAUUAAAUAUCAAUAAUCAUAGUUCGCAAUUACUAGAGCUCAGACCACGUAUCCGCCACCCUGCCGUCCUGGCCCCCACCCUGUGGUUUGUGCUUCUGCCCCACCCACAACUGGCAGCCUUCCUAUACCCCAAACACUACACUGUUGAAAACUGUGCCCAUAGCGUUUAAUUCGGCUAAUAUGGCUUAAACAGUUGGCUAUUGUUGUUGGCAUGUCAUGUUUCCCAGCUUAAAAUAAAUCGUUAUAGUUUGGAUAUUAUUUGUUUUAAUUUUAGUCGAUCGGGGGUAACUCCUGGAUAUGCAGUCAAAAGAACUUCCUGCGCUUCCAAGGCUCUUCUGGUUAGCUCCACUUCCAAUCAAACACUUUAACUCAAUUUUUCUCAAAAUCCGAUCUAGAAAAAUAUCAGAUAGGUCGGAUAUAAAACUGGUAGUUCAGGAGCUUCUUGACUCGAGAAGGGAUGAGCCACAAAUACGGUAAUACGGUAACCAAACACUGUCUAAGUCUGUUGGAUUUUUUAGUUAAAAUCCGACAGCCGAAAUCCGAAAAUAUACAAAGCCUUGAAAGAAAUCAUUUCCAGUUUCAAGCCUCAAGUAAAAAUAGUAUUGUUAGAUGUACUCGGAAUAAUA
rnacentral:misc_RNA from 1 species